rnacentral:rRNA from 1 species
UACGGAGAGUGCAAACGUUGUUCGGAUUCACUGGGCGUAAAGGGCACGUAGGCGGCUCGGCAAAUCGGUCGUGGAAUCCCGACGCUUACCGUCGGAACGGCGGCCGAAGAUACCGGGCUCGAGGGCGUGAGGGGUCACUGGAACUCCUGGUGAAGCGGUGAAAUGCGUAGAUAUCAGGAGGAACGCCGGAGGCGAAAGCGAGUGACUGGCGCGUUCCUGACGCUGAGGUGCGAAAGCUAGGGGAGCAAACAGG